rnacentral:rRNA from 1 species
AGCGAACGCUGGCGGCAGGCUUAACACAUGCAAGUCGAGCGGGCGUCCUGUAAGAGUCAGCGGCAAACGGUGGAGUAACGCGGGGGAACGUGCCCUACGUUUCAGAAUAACUCAUGGAAACUUAAACUAUUAGCGGAUACACGCUAGAGCAGCAAAGUUUAUCUGCGGAAGAAUCGGCCCGCUUCGGACUUUGUAGGUGGUGAGGAUAUGGCUCACGAAGGGGAGGAUCACUAGCUAGCCUGAGAGAAUGAUCAGCCACACUGGGACGGAGACACGGCCCAGACUCCUACGGGAUGCAGCAGUGGCGAAUAUUGGACUAUGGGGGCAAUCCUGAUCCAGCCAUGCCGGGUGAGUGAUUAUGGCCUUAGGGUUGUAAAGCUCUUUUCUCCGGGACGAUAAUGACGGUACCGGAGGAAUAAGCCCCGGCUAACUUCGUG